UACGUAGGGGGCAAGCGUUGUCCGGAAUCAUUGGGCGUAAAGAGCGUGUAGGCGGCUCGGUAAGUCCGCUGUGAAAGUCCAGGGCUCAACCCUGGAAUGCCGGUGGAAACUGUCGAGCUAGAGUCCGGAAGAGGCGAGUGGAAUUCCGGGUGUAGCGGUGGAAUGCGUAGAGAUCCGGAAGAACACCAGUGGCGAAGGCGGCCCGCUGGGCAGUGGCUGACGCUGAGGCGCGACAGCGUGGGGAGCAAACAGG
rnacentral:rRNA from 1 species